UGGAAAACACUAAACUCACUCCC
rnacentral:piRNA from 1 species